rnacentral:lncRNA from 1 species
UGCUUUUGAACUUUUCAAAAUAGCAUCGUUCCCCUUGAACAGUUAGUGCAUCUUUGCUCAACAAUUUGCGUACAUUUUAAUUACAUAGUUUUCCUCUUAUGCUGCCUAAUAGCUAUAUGAUAUGCUUUAAUUAAGGCUCAUGAUGAGAGCUUGGCUCUCCUGAAUUGUUUCCCUAUUGUCUCCUAUGAUUAAUAGACAAUUAGUCUUUUAUUUGUAGACUACUUGCCACGGUCUUUUCUUAGGGUGGUAGGGCUGAAAGCAACAGGAUCAAACAUCUCAAGCCUGCUGCUAGAUGUUGUGGUCUGACAAACUACAUGGCUUCCGUUAUCAAAACAGAGGGAACUUUUGCCACUCACCUAUGAGCAAUCAGAAUGAAGCCAAAAGUACUCACUAUUGGCCAAAAUAAGAGAGAGUUUGUCAUCUUUCAGGUAAGAGAAAACACUAAACUUUUCACCUUUUAUUUUGAAAUUUCCUAGGUU